rnacentral:rRNA from 1 species
UAUAAUGGGUCAGCGACUUACGUUCAGUAGCAAGCUUAACCGUAUAGGGCAGGCGUAGCGAAAGCGAGUCCGAAUAGGGCGUUCAGUUGCUGGGCGUAGACCCGAAACCAGGUGAUCUAUCCAUGGCCAGGAUGAAGGUGCGGUAACACGUACUGGAGGUCCGAACCCACUAACGUUGAAAAGUUAGGGGAUGAGCUGUGGAUAGGGGUGAAAGGCUAAACAAACCUGGAAAUAGCUGGUUCUCUCCGAAAACUAUUUAGGUAGUGCCUCGUGUCUCACCUUCGGGGGUAGAGCACUGUCAUGGUUGGGGGGUCUAUUGCAGAUUACCCCGCCAUAGCAAACUCCGAAUACCGAAGAGUGCAAUCACGGGAGACAGACAUCGGGUGCUAACGUCCGGUGUCAAGAGGGAAACAACCCAGACCGCCAGCUAAGGUCCCCAAAUAUGGCUAAGUGGGAAACGAAGUGGGAAGGCUAAAACAGUCAGGAGGUUGGCUUAGAAGCAGCCACCCUUUAAAGAAAGCGUAAUAGCUCACUGAUCGAGUCGUCCUGCGCGGAAGAUGUAACGGGGCUAAGCCAUAUACCGAAGCUGCGGAUGCGUGCUUGCACGCAUGGUAGGAGAGCGUUCCGUAAGCCUGCGAAGGUGCCUUGUAAAGGGUGCUGGAGGUAUCGGAAGUGCGAAUGCUGACAUGAGUAGCGAUAAAGGGGGUGAAAGGCCCCCUCGCCGUAAGCCCAAGGUUUCCUACGCAACGUUCAUCGGCGUAGGGUGAGUCGGCCCCUAAGGCGAGGCAGAAAUGCGUAGCUGAUGGGAA